rnacentral:ncRNA from 1 species
GUGAGCCGUGUGAUGGGAAACCUUCCCGCACGGUUCGGAGAGCACUGAAUUAGAAUGAGAGGUUCACCACCACAUCAUUGCAUGCAAGGGGAGCUCGCUCGAUUCGCAA